rnacentral:misc_RNA from 1 species
CUCUUGCUUGUAAAGUUGAAUGUAAGCCGGCUGAAUGAGGUUGAACAUCAACUAAAAUUAAAGUGUCUGGCGUGUGCCGGGAAGAGUGGUAAAUUGCUUUCCGUGCGUUUUCUGGGUACUUCGGCAAAGUUUAGAAGCCGCCGUUAAUAUUAUUCAAAAUGUCAAAGAGGAUGUCACGUUAUCCCAGCGACCGAAAGGUCUAUGUCGGCGAGUUAGGUAACAAUGCCCGGAAGAAUGAGAUCGAGUAUGUUUUCAGUUCAUACGGAACCUUGCGAAGCGUCUGGGUGGCGAGGAACCCACCGGGGUUCGCCUUUGUUGAAUUCGAAGACGCCCGCGAUGCGGCGGACGCGGUCCGCGGACUGGACGGCCGCACGAUUUGCGGUCGGCGGGCACGUGUGGAAUUGUCGACGGGCAAGUAUGGGAAGUACGGAGGCGGCGAUCGGGAGGAACGAGGACGGGAUCGACGCGGAGGAUCCAGGAGUCGCGGCAAACCCUUCCAUCCUGACGACAAAUGCUAUGAGUGUGGCGGACGUGGGCAUUAUGCUCGCGAUUGUCGCAGAUAUGGACGAUCCAGGAGAAGUUUAAUCUUCGGUCGAUAAACCAAUCUCAGUCAGUUAAACGAGUUCGAGUCACCCUUAAACACCAACCAACAUCGUGUUUCGCCUGCUCUCGAAAUCGUUCAGAUUACAGAUCAUCAUCUCUGAACAAUUGCGCGGGUGUCGUUUUGCAACGAAUUGUGUAGCCCGAGAGUGUCAUUUUCAUCAUUUGUUCUCGCGACCACGAAUCGUUGUUUUGUCAUCCAUUUCUCAGCAAGAACAUCGGGAUUACCAUCAGAAGGUUUGAGUAGUGAACGAAAAGAUUUAGUAUGGCAUAGUUAAUGCAGAGAUUCUUCUGAUGUUCAGUGGAACAAGAGAGUUUCACAUUUCGUUCAACUGAAAUCCAUGAGAGUGUUAACAUCGUCGUUUGAACUUGAGAUCAUCUUGAGAAACAUCUUGCAAGUCCUUCUCCACUCUCCUACUAGAACUUCAGGUUGAGAAAUAGAUGCUACAGACCUGCAGAACAGAACAAUGUGAAACGUUGUUGUCAUCUUAGAGUCAGAGUUAAACACAGACACAGAAAGAGAGCAAUGUGAAAAAGAAAUUUUGAUCAUCGCUACAGGUCACGUUCCCGAAGCCGCUCCCACAGUCAUUCACGGGAUCAUCGUACUCGGUCACGUACUGGAAGUCGAUCCCGCUCACGCCGAAGCUCUCGCUCUCGUUCACGCGAUUCGUACCGCUCCCGUGCAGAAAGGACCG